rnacentral:rRNA from 1 species
GUGUCAGCAGCCGCGGUAAUACGUAGGUGGCAAGCGUUGUCCGGAUUUACUGGGCGUAAAGCGCGUGUAGGCGGCCCGUUAAGUCUGUCGUGAAAUCUCCCGGCUCAACCGGGAGGGGUCGACGGAUACUGGCGAGCUUGAGGGAUGCAGAGGAAGGUGGAAUUCCCGGUGUAGUGGUGAAAUGCGUAGAUAUCGGGAGGAACACCAGUGGCGAAGGCGGCCUUCUGGGCAUUUCCUGACGCUGAGACGCGAAAGCGUGGGGAGCGAACCGGAUUAGAUACCCGGGUAGUCCACGCUGUAAACGAUGGACACUAGGUGUGGGGGGUAUCGACCCCCUCCGUGCCGAAGCUAACGCUCUAAGUGUCCCGCCUGGGGACUACGGCCGCAAGGCUAAA